CGCCUCUUGCUAAACCAAAAGUAUAAGAGGUCCCGCCUGCCCUGUGACUAUAUGUUUAACGGCCGCGGUAUUUUGACCGUGCGAAGGUAGCGCAAUCACUUGUCUCUUAAAUGGGGACCUGUAUGAAUGGCAUAACGAGGGCUUAACUGUCUCCUCUUUCAAGUCAAUGAAAUUGAUCUCCCCGUGCAGAAGCGGGGAUAAGUACAUAAGACGAGAAGACCCUAUGGAGCUUUAGACACUAAAGCAGAUCAUUAUUAAUACCCUAAACACAGGACACGAAUAAACUGAACCCUGCCCUAAUGUCUUAGGUUGGGGCGACCGCGGAGUAAUAAAAAACCCCCGCAAGGACCGAAUGUACUACAUUCACAACCAAGAGCGACAGCUCUAAUUAACAGAUACUUCUGACCAAUAAGAUCCGGCAACGCCGAUCAAUGGACCAAGUUACCCUAGGGAUAACAGCGCAAUCUCCUCUUAGAGCCCGUAUCAACGAGGGGGUUUACGACCUCGAUGUUGGAUCAGGACAUCCUAAUGGUGCAGCCGCUAUUAAGGGUUCGUUUGUUCAACGAUUAAAGUCCU
rnacentral:rRNA from 1 species